rnacentral:rRNA from 1 species
UACGUAGGGACCAAGCGUUGUUCGGAUUCAUUGGGCGUAAAGGGUGCGUAGGUGGCGCUGUAAGUCGGGUGUGAAAUUUCGGAGCUUAACUCCGAAACUGCAUUCGAUACUGCGGUGCUUGAGGACUGGAGAGGAGACUGGAAUUCAUGGUGUAGCGGUGAAAUGCGCAGAUAUCAGGAAGAACACCCGUGGCGAAAGCGGCUCUCUGGAACGGUACUGACGCUGAGACGCGAAAGCGUGGGGAGCGAACAGG